CUGUAUGUAGGGGUUUUGUUUUACACUGUUUAAUUACACUGACAUUCUUUAUUGUGUAUGCAGUGCACUGAUGGGGAAGUUAGUGGAGCUGUAAUGAUGAGAUUGGUGUUGGUUUGGGGGGCAAGGGUGAGGUUUGCGUGCUUGAGAGCACAAACAGAGCGUGCUAUUAUGCAACUGUGUAGAGGGGAUGUGGUCCACACAUUGUGUUCAGUCCUACUGCUGAUGCUGGAGCUGUUCAUCGCUGCUUUCAUCAGUAACCUUGCAGUUGCUGUGAUAAUGCAUAAACGUGAGGAUGUAUUUAUUCCUUAUCAGUUUGCUGUAGCAAAAGACUGGAAUUCGCUUUGGUAGUCUGGAAAAAAUAUCAGGAUGGUCGUUGUUAUGACGCCUGUGGAAGAACAAAGUUGUCAGGGCCAUGGGAAUCACAACAGUGUCACAGCACCAAGGCUCUUCUGACAAGCAUGGAUGGAGGGGCUUCAGGCAUGCAUGGGAAACAGAUAUGACUGCCUUGCUAACUUUUAACACAAGAAAUAGGAUACAGGGUAGCUAAGACUACUAGGAAUCCUUUCGUAACUUGAAAAAAAUUGCUGCUUUUGUGUCAAAACUUCCCUAUCUAAACAAGUUUUGUUUUUUUUUUCCUGCACUUUUCUUUGAGUAAAUGUGUAUGCACAUAUGCUCUUCCCCCCCUGCCCCCUUUCCUUUUAGAUAUGAUCUUUCAUUGUAGGCAUUUUGCCAGAAAGGUUUGUUUCAGAUCCCCUGUAGUCUGUUUGAAGUGGUGUUCUCAGGCUUGCAGAAGUAAGUAGUACAGCAGUUGCAAGCCAUUAAAUUUCCCAGUGCUCUUGAGGGAAUGAGAUUAGACCCUAAAUUUAAAGGCAAGUUUUAAGAUUCUUUGCUUCAAACCCUUUGAGGUAGUGCAAUGUGCAACUCAAAAGACUUAAGAUUCAUUCAAGCCAAAGUUAAAAAAUAUAAGGAUAUAUAUAUCUUUUAUAUAUGUAUGCACAUAUAUAUAUGUGCAUAUAUAUAGACAAACAUGCAAACGAAAUGUCAGUGGCAUGCUGUACUAUAAAUAAGAAAAUACUUUAACCUUUCAUUAGAGCAGCUGUUUCCUUGCACUUGAAGCAACAUCUGCUUGACUGAUUUAAGGAUUUAUUUUGAGCUUCUGCUUGUAUUUGGUGAUUCAGUUUAUUAUUUUUAAAAUUAAAAUAUUCCUCCUGCGUUUUACACAUACUUUGUCAUAUACCCAUAAAAUUAUCCGUUUAUCUUAAUGUGCCUUUUAUAUAUCAUAGUAGGACUAUAAGAAAUGCUCCUCAGCAACAAAAAAAUGUAGAACUAUGAAGUUAUCUGUCUUGGGGAGUUGGAGAGGGGGAAGAAGGAACUGACACUUUUUAUCUUUUCCUGUUGCUUAUACUGUCCAUUAGCUGCAGAAGUACAACUUAAUCAAAUUUUACAGGAAGCUGAGUUAGUUUUGAUUAUUUCUCUGUGAUAUUCUUCUUUCUGUAUUCACUGGUAAUCCCAAAACUCAGUAGUGAGGAUAAAAAGAAAUGUGUCCCCUUAAUAUUAUGCUAUCUGAAAAAUGACUUCAGUUCGAUAUUAAUGCUGUGCCGUAACCAUAUUUUAAGUGCUGAGCAGGACUAAUCUUCUGGGUUUUUUUUAAUCAUCUCCUUAUAGGAUCCAGAUCAGACAGUACUAGGGAGCUGAUGGUUUGGUGUUCUGUCUGCUGCCUAGGAAAGUGUUAUGAUCUUCAAAAGAGAUAAUCCCAACCACGGAUAAGCUACACACAGAUGACGGAUAAGAAAUCCUUAGGUAGCCUGCACAAAAUCAGAGUUGGGGUAACUACUUGGCCAGAGGGAGCAAGGUGAGGGGGCCAGUUAGAGUAGAGGAAGUGGAUGCAGGGGGAUUGGAGUGAGAGGCAGAUUGGCUACUUGUGAUGAAGCUUCUCACUGCUACUGCCUACAGCAGGCACUGCUGCUGGGUAUUUGGGGUUGUUUGGUUUGUUUGUUUCUUAAACAGGCAGCCCAUUCCCAAGUACAAUAACAGUUUGUGGUGCUUUCUGAACCUCUUGAAUUUUUGGCACUCUGCUGGUUUUGUAAUGAGAUGCGUUAAUGCUUAAAGGAUAAUUAAAGAUAAUGAGGUAUAGAGAAAGUGGAACGCAGUGCAGCCUCUGAAAGGCAGAGCUUGGCAAGCUGACUUUUGACGAAAAAACCCUUAUUUUCUACAUAGACAUUUUUGUCGUUUCAUCUGAAUAUGUACACAGUAAGUGAUGUGGUGCUCUAUUGCAAACUGCUGGCUAAAUAGGAGAAAUUGCGAUCUAGUAGAGAAAUUGUUUGGAAGGGCCUAAGAUAAAGGACCUAGCUGAGGGGAGGGAAACAAGCUCAGAGCUUCUUAGUGGAAUCAUUAUAGAUCAGUUGUCAGAUCAGUCUUGCAUUAUCUGAUUCAUCUAAUGACAAAGGUAUAUGUAAAGGGAUCUUGCUGCUAGAAUUUGAUGACAUGAAGAUGAAAAAGUACUC